rnacentral:rRNA from 1 species
CCUACGGGCGGCAGCAGUGGGGAAUAUUGCGCAAUGGGCGAAAGCCUGACGCAGCGACGCCGCGUGAGGGAUGAAGGUCUUCGGAUCGUAAACCCCUGUCAGCAGGGGAGCACGGUCUCUGUGCUAAUCAGCAGUGAAUUUACGGUACCUACAAAGGACGCACCGGCUAACACCGUGCCAGCAGCUGCUGUAAGACGGAGGGUGCGUGCGUUAAUCGGUAUGACUGGGCGUAAGGCGCUCGUAGGCGGUAUGUCAAGUCACGGGUGAAAUCACGGCGCGCAAGGUGGGGAAUGCCUAUGAUACGGGCAAACUAGUGUGUGUAGGAGGAUAGUGGAAUGACAGGUGUAGGAGUGAAAUCAGUAGAUA